rnacentral:lncRNA from 1 species
UAGGUCAGCAAGCCGGUGGUCCGCCGGUUAUCCGGCCACCUGGACAGAUGCCUCCAAUGCAGUUCCCUGGACCUCCGAUGGCCCGUGGUCCUCCUCCGCCGCAAUUUGCAGGUAGACCACCGCAGCAGGGGUUUCCAAUGCCUCCUCAGUUUGCUCAGAGACCGAUGGGAAUGCCGCCGCCAAUGAUGAGAGGACCACCUGGCCCGCCGCGUCCAGGGAUGCCUCCUCCUCCUGGUAACAUGUUUGGACCUCC